UCUCCCUGAUGCUAGGCCCGCUAGCAUCAGAACUGGACCUCAGAGCAAUCGAAUGUCACCUGGUCUGAAAUCCUGAAUGUCAUGAGGUGGAAGUGUGCUUUUGAGGUGGAAUAAUGGGUGCCGUGAAGCUCCUGGUACCGUCUCAUGCCGUGCCACUGAUGGACAGAUAUUGGAUUUGCUUGAGGAUGCCUCGUUUUGAAAUCCAGCAGACAGCAGAGCUUUGGAAAGGAGGGGCUGUGUAAUUAGUGUGAGUGUUUAAUUAGGUUGUGGGCUUAGAUUGCGCUGAGUGCUAUUGAGAUGGAUUACAUUGUUGACCUUUAAAGGCUUGUGGCUUUAAUUGACUGAAGCCAUAACAGCUAGGAUGCUUAGUUUCUUAAAUGGCGAGGAAAGACAAGGUGAGAUCUGUUCAUGUGGUUGUUUCAAGUUCUUGAGAAAGAAACAUGCUCA
ensembl:lncRNA